GAUGACUCGGGGAUAGCCUUUCGAAAGAAAGAUUAAUACCCGAUGGCAUAGUUCUUCCGCAUGGUUGAACUAUUAAAGAAUUUCGGUCAUCGAUGGGGAUGCGUUCCAUUAGGUUGUUGGCGGGGUAACGGCCCACCAAGCCUUCGAUGGAUAGGGGUUCUGAGAGGAAGGUCCCCCACAUUGGAACUGAGACACGGUCCAAACUCCUACGGGAGGCAGCAGUGAGGAAUAUUGGUCAAUGGACGAGAGUCUGAACCAGCCAAGUAGCGUGAAGGAUGACUGCCCUAUGGGUUGUAAACUUCUUUUAUACGGGAAUAAAGUGAGGCACGUGUGCCUUUUUGUAUGUACCGUAUGAAUAAGGAUCGGCUAACUCCGUGCCAGCAGCCGCGGUAAUACGGAGGAUCCGAGCGUUAUCCGGAUUUAUUGGGUUUAAAGGGAGCGUAGGCGGACGCUUAAGUCAGUUGUGAAAGUUUGCGGCUCAACCGUAAAAUUGCAGUUGAUACUGGGUGUCUUGAGUACAGUAGAGGCAGGCGGAAUUCGUGGUGUAGCGGUGAAAUGCUUAGAUAUCACGAAGAACUCCGAUUGCGAAGGCAGCUUGCUGGACUGUAACUGACGCUGAUGCUCGAAAGUGUGGGUAUCAAACAGGAUUAGAUACCCUGGUAGUCCACACAGUAAACGAUGAAUACUCGCUGUUUGCGAUAUACAGUAAGCGGCCAAGCGAAAGCGUUAAGUAUUCCACCUGGGGAGU
rnacentral:rRNA from 1 species